UAGCUCAGUUGGUAGAGCAUGGUGUUUGCAACGCCAGGGUUGUGGGUUCGAUUCCCAU
rfam:Salmo salar isolate Sally breed double haploid chromosome ssa04, whole genome shotgun sequence.